rnacentral:rRNA from 1 species
AACGAACGCUGGCGGCAUGCCUAACACAUGCAAGUCGAGCGAGGACUUCGGUUCUAGCGGCGGACGGGUGAGUAACGCGUGGGAAUGUGCCCUUCUCUACGGAAUAGCCCUGGGAAACUGGUAGUAAUACCGUAUACGCCCUUUUGGGGAAUGAUUUAUCGGAGAAGGAUCUGCCCGCGUUGGAUUAGGUAGUUGGUGGGGUAAUGGCCUACCAAGCCGAGGAUCCAUAGCUGGUUUGUGAGGAUGAUCAGCCACACUGAGACUGAGACGCGGCCCAGACUCCGACGAGAGGCAGCAGUGGGGAAUCUUAGACCAUGGGGGCAACCCUGAGCUAGCCAUGCCGCGUGAGUGAUGAAGGCCUUAGGGUUGUAAAGCUCUUUCAGCUGGGAAGAUAAUGACGGUACCAGCAGAAGAAGCCCCGGCUAACUCCGUG